AAACAAACGGCAGAGAGAAGAGAGCCGAGUAGCUGGCAUGCAGGUUACACCGACGGACAGACAAGCAAAUCGCUUAAGAGAGCUCUCUACCCCAAGUGGUCUCUGGAAGGCGUCGAUCGACUAAAGUUUCAGGAUGAAGAUGACGAAGAUGACGAAGGCUCUUCUCUUUACCCUCCUCUUGACCUCAGGCCACUACUGUGAGGAGCAGAUCGCGGUAACAGGUUAUUUGGGUGAGCCUGCCUCCAUCCGGUGCAAUUACCCUCAGGAGUACACCGACAGUCCCAAGACCCUCUGCAGAACAGAUGGUGGCUGUGACGCCCCGUUCGCCAUCUCGAAAGGAACAUCACAAGAGCGUGAGGAAGGUCGAGUUCUUCUGUCAGACCAUCCCAAUGAGGGACUCCUCAUGGUUAAUAUCACCAGGCUAAUAACAGGGGAUGGGGGAGAAUAUCAGUGUGCAGUACUGUCCAAACCAGAAAUCAAACUCCUUGCAACGGUGCAUCUGAGUGUUAUCACAGUCAUACCUCCUGAGAAGACGGGUUCUGUGGAUUCCUGCCCAUUUGGAACAAGACCCUGCCAAGUGGUCAAUGCCACAGGGUACAUAGGAGGUUCUGUGACCAUGACCUGCAAGUGUACGGGUAAGGAGAGUAAGUUCUUCUGCAGAGGACAAAACCCGACCGUCUGUUUGAGGCAAGGGAUUAAAGCUGCUUCACACAUAACAGCACUGCAGGGGUUCGCCCUGAAGGAACAGGCCAUAUCUGAUUCUUUUACGGUGACCAUCACUGACCUGAAAUCAGAGGAUGCUGGCGUAUACUGGUGUGGGGAGAAAGAUCAAGAGUAUUACUUCACAAGUGCAGUCCUCCUAAGUGUCCACAACAGCGGAGAGAACAUAAACGUAGGAACAGCUUGGCUAACUGGGGUUUGUGUGGCUGUUUUUGUCAUCAUGUCUGGAGUAAUCUUGGUCAUCAUUUCCAUCAGGAGGAAAGAAAAUCUAGCCGGCAUCCAGAGUUCAGACCCAAACACCAUCCAGCUGGACCCUGUAUACCAGAGCCUGAAUCCAGCAACUGGCCAACAGGAGGCUAUCUACCAGACCCUGGGCCCAAGACCACUGCACAAUCUCCAUUAGUACCAACGUUAGGCCCAAGACCACUGCAUAAUCUCCAUUAGUACCAGGAAAGACACCCUCACACAAUUCAGUGUACCACUGCACAUGCUUUUGUCAUGGACCUAAGAUCCACACUAGAUCUUGUGUAUGAAAAUCCAAACUGUACAAAACUAUAUUUAUGUGUGUGUGUGUGUGAGAGAGAGAGAGAGAGAGAGAGAGAGAUAGAGUGUGUGAGAGACAGAGUGUGUGUGUGUGUGUGUGUGUGUGUGUGUGUGUGUGUGUGUGUGUGUGUGUGUGUGUGUGUGUAUGUUAUUUAACCAGACCCUGGACCCAAGACCACCGCAUAAUCUCCAUUAGUAUCAAAGUUAGGGAAAGACACCAUCACAUGAUUCUGAUUCACGAUUCACGAUGGUUUUGCACCCCUAUCUGUAUAUGCUUUUGUCAUGGACCUAAGAUCCACACAAGCUCUUGUGUGAUACUGAUGAUCUAGAGUGACUGAUGAUCUAUGGUGACUGAUGAUCCAGUGUGAUCUAGGGUGACUUUAGUAUCCUAUUUAUUUAUCAUUGCCAGCUGUAUAUGUUUCAACCUUUUAUUAUUCCAAAAAGUAUAUAAUAUAUUUGCAUAUUUGCUGUAUAUAAAGCUAUGUUAGCUAUGCUAUGUUCUGUUUUGUAAAAUAAAAUGAUUCAAAUAUAUAAAGCUUCA
ensembl:lncRNA